ACCGGCGUAAUGGGUGAGUAACACGAUAUGCAAUCUACCUUUUGCUGGGGUAUAGCCAGAAGAAAUUCUGAUUAAUCCCCCAUAAUAUAAAUGUUCUUCAUGGGAUCUUUAUUAAAACAUAAGUGGCAAAAGAUGAGCCUGCGUCUGAUUAGUUAGUUGGUGAGGUAAUGGCUCUACCAAGACUAUGAUCAGUAGGGGGCCUUAGAGGGUGUACCUCCAACUGGUACUGAGACACGGACCAGACUUCUACGGAAGGCAGCAGUGAGGAAUAUUGGUCAAUGGAGGAAACUCUGAACCAGCUAUGCCGCGUGUAGGAUGACAGCCUUAUCGGUUGUACACUACUUUUGUAUAGAAAUAAAAUUUCCUACGUGAUAGGAACUUGAAGGUACUGUACGAAUAAGUGUCGGCUAAUUCUGUGCCAGCAGCCGCGGUAAUACAGAAGACACAAGCGUUAUCCGGAUUUAUUGGGUUUAAAGGGUGUGUAGGCUGUUUAUUAAGUCAGUAGUGAAAUCUUACAGCUUAACUGUAAAAUUGCUAUUGAUACUGAUAAACUUGAGUAAGAUUGGAGCAUCUGGAAUGUAUGGUGUAGCGGUGAAAUGCAUAGAUAUCAUACAGAACACCAAUAGCGAAGGCAGGUUGCUAAAUCUUUACUGACGCUGAGGCACGAAAGCGUGGGUAGCAAACAGGAUUAGAUACCCUGGUAGUCCACGCCCUAAACGAUGAUCACUAGCUAUUGGAAAAAUAUAUUCAGUGGCUAAGCGAAAGUGAUAAGUGAUCCACCUGGGAAGUACAGUCGCAAGAUUGAAACUCAAAGGAAUUGGCGGGGGUCCGCACAAGCGGUGGAGCAUGUGGUUUAAUUCGAUGAUACGCGAGGAACCUUACCAAGGUUUAAAUGUAUUACGAAUAAGCUAGAAAUAGCUUAGUCUAUAUGACGAAAUACAAGGUGCUGCAAUGGUUGUCGUCAGUUCGUGCUGUGAAGUGUUUGGUUAAGUCCUAUAACGAGCGCAACCCCUAUUGUUAGUUGCCAUCAGGUAAAGCUGGGGACUCUAACAAAACUGCCGGUGUAAAUUGUGAGGAAGGUGGGGAUGAUGUCAAAUCAUCAUGGCCUUUAUGCCUUGGGCUACACACGUGCUACAAUGGCUGGUACAAAGAGCAGCCACUGGGUGACCAGGAGCGAAUCUCUAAAACCAGUCUCAGUUCGGAUUGGAGUCUGCAAUUCGACUCUAUGAAGUUGGAAUCGCUAGUAAUCGCGCAUCAGCAAUGGCGCGGUGAAUAUGUUCUCGGACCUUGCACACA
rnacentral:rRNA from 1 species